rfam:Aedes albopictus isolate Foshan contig20541, whole genome shotgun sequence.
UAUUCUGUGGCUUAGUUGGUAGAAGCGGCGGAUUAGUGAUACGGAGUCAUGGGUUCGAAUCCCACCAAAACAA